GGCAGUGAAAUGUGUCGUGUUGUUGGUUUUUUUCAUUUUUCUUUCCCCUUUCUCUCUCACACUCUUUGAUUCUCUCUCUGAAAACAUUGUGAAUGGGGCUUUUCAUUAGGCAAAUAUAAGGUAUACUUGGUCAGCAUAUACGUCGUCCCUCUGUUGCUUUUUCCCUUGGAGUUCCUUCUACAAUGGAGGCUGGAUACGGAGCCUCCUCACUCCUUCUCACAGAAUAUGAAGUACCUCGCUGCUUAGUCUCAUAAGUUUCAUUUUACCUUGAAACGAAAAUGUUCUGAAGAUGUCCUUCACAGGAUAUGCAAAUUCAUACAACAAAAACCUUCUUUCGUGUGGAGGGCUGGUCCCAUGCAAGAAUCAGAGCUCACCGGAUGAGAGCAAAGGGUCUGAUGCUUUGAAAAAAGGCCCCCGAUCCAAAUAAUGGAGUAGACGACUUGGUGAAAAAGAGAAAAGGCUGUUUAUGGAUGUAAUGGUUUUCAAGCAAUCUGCCUGCUGCCUUAGGAAAACCUGAAACAGUUUCACCAAGUGGGCAUUACAGAUCAUCUCUCUCACCAGAUGGUUUCUGUAGGCCCAUAAGUGGAUUCAUUAGCUGCGUGGUACAGUGGCAAGAGCCCUCGAUUGCAAUUUGGGAGACUUGGCUCACUAGUAAAAUCGCUAAUCACACCUGUACAUUCUUUCAUCCUAUUUACGAUUCCAUUGAGUUAGAAGCACCAUCACUCAUAAAGCUGAAGAAUGAAAGAUCUGCUAGGUAGAUAUUAUUAAAACCUGACUUUUUCCACAAGGAAACUGAUACUCAGAGAAGUCCUAUGUAUAGUAAUAUGCAAAACUGGGUUAUGAUGCAGGUUUUUUGAUUCCACUGCCCGUGUUCUUUCAUCAGGUCAUGUGGUCAGCCAGAACCUGAGCCACUGAACCAGGUAACAUAAAGUCCCUUUUGAGUUUAUGAUUCUAAAGAUUU